rnacentral:rRNA from 1 species
GAUGAACGCUAGCGGCAGGCUUAAUACAUGCAAGUCGAGGGGCAGCACAGGUAGCAAUACUGGGUGGCGACCGGCAAACGGGUGCGGAACACGUACACAACUUACCUUCUGGUGGGGGAUAGCCUUUGGAAACGGAGAUUAAUACCCCAUCUUAUAUAUGAGCUGCAUGGUUUGUAUAUUAAAGAUUUAUUGCCGGAAGAUGGGUGUGCGUAUGAUUAGGUAGUUGGCGGGGUAACGGCCCACCAAGCCGACGAUCAUUAACUGGUGUGAGAGCACGACCAGUCACACGGCACUGAGACACGGGCCCGACUCCUACGGGAGGCAGCAGUAAGGAAUAUUGGUCAAUGGACGGAAGUCUGAACCAGCCAUGCCGCGUGGAGGAUGAAGGUCCUCUGGAUUGUAAACUUCUUUUAUAGGGGGCGAAAAAAGGGAAUUCUUUCUCGUCUGACGGUACCCUAUGAAUAAGCACCGGCUAACUCCGUGCCAGCAGCCGCCGUAACAC